UGCUCGGCCGCCAAAUUUUUUGGUCGAAAGUUAAACUUCCCACUUUUUUUUUCCCACAAUUAUUCGCACUCUGGCCUCCCUUUUCUAGGUGACCCCUCUCUCUCUCUCUCAGUCUCUCUCACUGUGCAUCUCUUCAUCGUCGAACAAAUUGGAGCUCUGAUUCCUUAGCUCUGACCAAAACAAAUCUCACCACAGAUGGAUCUGAAACCCUCUCAUUCUCUCAGCAAUGUCGUCGUGACCGACGAGACCGAGACCGAGACAAGGACCAUCACAAGCAUCACAGAAGCCGCAACGCUUCCGAUGACCACCACCGCCAACACCGCUCUCGAUCUGACCGCGAUUCGAAGCUCGCACUCCCACGACCACAAAUCUCGCCGUGACAGGUCACAGGAGCCACGGGACGACCGGGAAGCAUUGCGCGACCACCGCGAGCGGUCGUACGAGAGGGAAGGGAGUAGAGAGAGGUCCAGGCAUCAUGGGAGAGGUCGGAGGAGGGAGAGGAUAUGGUGGAGAGGAGGCAUAAGAGGAAAGAGAGGGAGAAGAGUGAGGAUAGAGGUGGCGGUGUGGAUGAGUCUGAAGAUUCAAAGAGAGCUAGGGGUUUGGAUGAGACGAAAGAGAGGAAGCGAUUUGAUGAAGGGCGAGUAAAGGAAGAAGAGGAUGAGAAUUAUGCUAGAGAAUUGGAACGGAGCACUGAAGGGAAUGCGGUUCACAGUGAGGUUAAGGUUAAGAAAGAAGAAUUGGAGGAUGAUGAGGGCUUCACUACCACCCAAAAUGGGGGUGCUCCGGUGGGUAAUCCACUGCUCUGGUUCUUAAAGACACAAAGACUCCUAUGAAAGGUCCACCUGUACUACCAAGCACUUCUUGCACUGAACGGUUAGUUUGGAUCACAUCAGGCAAGUGAAGAAUGCUUUGAACAUGACCAUCAACGAUGUUAUAUUGGGAGUGAGUGAGUGACACAAGCAGGUUUCUCGCCGUAUUUGAACAGCAGAUAUGAAAAUUUCCGAGCUCUUUGUACAGUGGUUGCUUGAUGAAAAUGAAGGGUGUUCCAUAUAUUAGCAGAGAAAGCAUCUUUUUGGUUGCUGCACCACAGGUUAUGAUUGAAGAUAUUGGGAAGCAGAUUAAGCAACUAUAAACCUACAAGGUGCAGGACAUUGAUUUACUUGACUAGAAUUGUUGAACUGUAAUUUGUUAUACUUUAUAAAUUUGUUUGCAUAUGGUGUAUUUUGAUUCAGUUAAUAUUGCAUUUGGUGGUGUAUUUUGAGGGGUGUACAAUUGGAGAAAGCUUCCUUUUAUUGUUAAUUAAUUUUUUUUUUGGGUU